rnacentral:misc_RNA from 1 species
GAUGAAGAACGUAGCGAAAUGCGAUACGUAGUGUGAAUUGCAGAAUUCCGUGAACCAUCGAAUCUUUGAACGCAAAUUGCGCUCGAGGCCUCGGCCAAGAGCAUGUCUGCCUCAGCGUCGGCUACUACCCUCAACUAAGUUUCCUAUACACAUAGGGGAUGCCGGUUGGAUCUGGCCGUCCGGUUUGCCUUUUAGGUUGCCGGUCAGCUGAAAUACAUUCACGCUCUGGGGGCUGCUUUCCUUCCGAGGAGAGGCGAGUUCCGAUUUGGUAGGUGACCUUUGCCGGUUGCAUGCCUUCGUUGCCCGCUAAGCUUUCCAGUAUGCGUUGUGCAGGACGCCUUUUGGCUUUCGACCUGAGGUCAGGCAAGAACACCCGCUGAACUUAAGCAUAUCAAUAAGCGGAGGA